rnacentral:rRNA from 1 species
GACGAACGCUGGCGGCGUGCUUAACACAUGCAAGUCGAACGGAAAGGCCCUGCUUUUGUGGGGUGCUCGAGUGGCGAACGGGUGAGUAACACGUGAGUAACCUGCCCUUGACUUUGGGAUAACUUCAGGAAACUGGGGCUAAUACCGGAUAGGAGCUCCUGCUGCAUGGCGGGGGUUGGAAAGUUUCGGCGGUUGGGGAUGGACUCGCGGCUUAUCAGCUUGUUGGUGGGGUAGUGGCUUACCAAGGCUUUGACGGGUAGCCGGCCUGAGAGGGUGACCGGCCACAUUGGGACUGUGAUACGGCCCAGACUCCUACGGGAGGCAGCAGUGGGGAAUAUUGCACAAUGGGCGGAAGCCUGAUGCAGCAACGCCGCGUGCGGGAUGACGGCCUUCGGGUUGUAAACCGCUUUCGCCUGUGACGAAGCGUGAGUGACGGUAAUGGGUAAAGAAGCACCGGCUAACUACGUG